AGCUCGUAGGUGGUUUGUCGCGUUGUUCGUGAAAUCCCACGGCUUAACUGUGAGCGUGCGGGCGAUACGGGCAGACUUGAGUACUGCAGGGGAGACUGGAAUUCCUGGUGUAGCGGUGGAAUGCGCAGAUAUCAGGAGGAACACCGGUGGCGAAGGCGGGCCUCUGGGCGGUAACUGACGCUGAGGAGCGAAAGCGUGGGGAGCGAACAGGAUUAGAUACCCUGGUAGUCCACGCCGUAAACGGUGGGUACUAGGUGUGGGUUUCCUUCCUUGGGAUCCGUGCCGUAGCUAACGCAUUAAGUACCCCGCCUGGGGAGUACGGCCGCGAGGCUAAAACUCAAAGAAAUUGACGGGGGCCCGCACAAGCGGCGGAGCAUGUGGAUUAAUUCGAUGCAACGCGAAGAACCUUACCUGGGUUUGACAUGCACAGGACGCCGGCAGAGAUGUCAGUUCCCUUGUGGCCUGUGUGCAGGUGGUGCAUGGCUGUCGUCAGCUCGUGUCGUGAGAUGUUGGGUUAAGUCCCGCAACGAGCGCAACCCUUGUCUCAUGUUGCCAGCGGGUAAUGCCGGGGACUCGUGAGAGACUGCCGGGGUCAACUCGGAGGAAGGUGGGGAUGACGUCAAGUCAUCAUGCCCCUUAUGUCCAGGGCUUCACACAUGCUACAAUGGCCAGGUACAAAGGGCUGCGAUGCCGCGAGGUUAAGCGAAUCCUUUUAAAGCCGGUCUCAGUUCGGAUCGGGGUCUGCAACUCGACCCCGUGAAGUCGGAGUCGCUAG
rnacentral:rRNA from 1 species